CCCCUAGAUGUUCUGGGCCGCACGCGCGCUACACUGAACAGUUCAACAAGUCUUAACCUUGGCCGAUAGGUCUGGGUAAUCUUUGAACGCUGUUCGUGAUUGGGAUAGACCUUUGCAAUUAUGGGUCUUCAACGAGGAAUUCCUAGUUAACGCAAGUCAUCAGCUUGCAUUGAUUACGUCCCUGCCCUUUGUACACACCGCCCGUCGCACCUACCGAUUGAAUGGUCCGGUGAAAUCUCGGGACGGCGGCUUGGUCGCUUGCGUCCGACUGCUGAAACUUGAUUAAACCAUAUCAUUUAGAGGAAGGUGAAGUCGUAACA
rnacentral:rRNA from 1 species